rnacentral:rRNA from 1 species
GACGAACGCUGGCGGCGUGCCUAAUACAUGCAAGUCGAGCGGAAGUUGGAGAGCUUGCUCUUCAACUUUAGCGGCGGACGGGUGAGUAACACGUGGGCAACCUGCCCUGCAGAUCGGGAUAACUCCGGGAAACCGGUGCUAAUACCGAAUAGUUUUCGCCACCUCCUGGUGGCGUACGGAAAGACGGUUUCGGCUGUCACUGCAGGAUGGGCCCGCGGCGCAUUAGCUAGUUGGUGGGGUAACGGCCCACCAAGGCGACGAUGCGUAGCCGACCUGAGAGGGUGAUCGGCCACACUGGGACGAAGACACGGCCCAGACUCCUACGGGAGGCAGCAGUAGGGAAUCUUCCGCAAUGGACGAAAGUCUGACGGAGCAACGCCGCGUGAGUGACGAAGGUUUUCGGAUCGUAAAACUCUGUUGUGAGGGAAGAACAAGUACCAACUAACUACUGGUACCUUGACGGUACCUCACCAGAAAGCCACGGCUAACUACGUGCCAGCAGCCGCCGUAACAC